GUCUACGGCCAUACCCACUCUGAACGUGCCCAAUCUCAUCUGAUCUUAGAAGCUAAGCAGGGUUGAGCCUGGUUAGUACUUGGAUGGGAAAAAAUUUACCAAUAAUUUCAGAACAAGUCACCAUUAUUA
rnacentral:rRNA from 1 species